AUCUAUCGCCAUACCACCCUGAAAGUGCCCAAUCUCAUCUGAGCUCUGAAGCAAAGCAGGGUCAGCCUGGUUAGUACUUGGAUGGGAGGAAAAAGAGUGAAAUUGAAG
rnacentral:rRNA from 1 species